UUUUCCCUCUGGUGAGUUAUGCGCCAUCCUUACAUGAUUCAUCAGCAUCACCUAGAAACGAUCUGAGGAAAAACAAAAUCAAAGUGAAAUCAAAUGGAAUCACGUGUAGGUAGUAGCGAAGUACUAUAUCGAAAUCAUUUGUUGCAAUGUAAAUUUGUAAGAUACAUGCAAUUGAUAUCCAAAGGUCACUAUUUUGAAUUCUCUCUAAGCAUAACAGGCAAAAGUAUUAGGUGGAUGCAAAUGCUCCUAUUCUCCUUAUUGUAAGUAGACAAUCUAAAACCAAGGAUGUCAUCAUAAUAACUAAAGGAUAAAAGAAAUUAAAAGGUAAACAUACAGGGGUAUACAAAUAAGGUUGAAGCAUUGCUGGGUACUGGUAGUUGUAAAUCUCUUUGUGAAAUCGUAUUGAAUAGGACAGCUUUUUAACAGAAACAAGACAGAAGCUUUACUUCUUAACCCAUAUAUAAGUUGUCGUUGCACAUGCCCAUAAAUACCUACUCACCUACAUACACACCUAAGCACAAAUACCUACUCACCUACAUAAGUUGCCGUUGCACAUGCCCAUAUAUUUGGUGCAAGUUGUGGCCUCCUUUAAGUAACAUUAUCAUCACUCUUACCUACCUACACACCAUCAAAGGAUGAGGUCAAAGCCAAGUGGAACUGUGGAAGUACUAAAGAAAGGGAAAGUGUCUGAUUCAUAAGCAAAGAGAGCAAGAGACCGAACUUUAAGAAUAUGUAGGAGGUUUAUUAGUAAGGAAAUAGUGGUAACCUUUUCUUAGUAAAUAAGAUCGAUGGAAACAAAUGUACUUUUCAUAUGUGACUCCGGAAAAAAAAUUAAAUAUCUUUUCCUUUAGCUGUACCAUGACCAUAUUUACAAUGGUCCAUCGCACUGUCAAUGUACCACAAUGUGCAUAGCUUAUUGAUGCUUUGGGGCUAACACAUGUUCUUCACAACUAAAUUGGUAGAACGAUAAACAUGAUGUUGAGCUAGAAAAAAUAGAACUACAGACUGGGAAAAGUUCAGGUCCAAAAGCAUAUCUGAUAGAUAUGUCUGUCAGGCGUGUCGAACAUUUUCUACAGUGAGAUAGACUGAGCAGAAGAAACACAUUACUGGUUUUCCAAAAACAUCUUAAGAAAUGGAGCUCUUGGACCAGUGAAUUACACUGGUAUUCUCAAUAUAGAAUAUACCACAUCUGCAAUCUCACUGGUGAGAACCAGUGAAAGAUUAAGAAAUUAUCUAAACCUAUAAGCUUCCAUUCUAACUGGCAGGGAAACAAAAUGUCAAUAUCCUCUCACUUAGUUCAGACAUGUAUAGGAUAGUGUAGCAGUACAUGUGUGUAAACAGAAACCAAGUUCAUUAUGGAAACUGGAAAGUACCAACAAAAUGGCAGUAAAAGGUUUUUAAGUUUUACGUUUAGUAGCACGGGUAGGAAGUAGAUCAGUUCUUUUUUUAGUUCGGGGAAAUUUAGGACAAUGUAGAAUUGCCUAAUUAUUUUAUAUCCAAGAUAGAAGUAUUGGCAGAUUAUCCUCAAACUAUAUUCUUUACAGUUAUAAGAAAUGUUGUCCAAUGCAGAGAAAUAGGCAUGAUAAUUGAUAAGUUUGGUAACUAAGCGUAAAAGACGCUCACUACAAAAAUACAGGCCAUAGAACUGAAAAUAGAAAAACCGAUGAUAAAGAAGGAGGUAACCUGGUAGAGUGCCACACCGAAGGGCAUUUUCCUAAAUAUGUUUGUAAAACACAACUCACGGUCGAUGGACUUAACUAAGGUAUUUUUAAGCACAACAUUUAUAAAGGAAAUUGACCAUAUACUUUUUUAUGAAUGAUGCAAGACUUAUGUUUUUUUUGCAAGAAUCAACCUUAGCAGGCUGUUGUGUAGAGUUACUGUCAGCGGAAGAUGGCGCAGCCAAGAAAAAUUGGUUGUGGAUUUCUUCUAUGCCUGUUGCUCCAUC
rnacentral:lncRNA from 1 species